AUCACUGCGUUAUCCAGUGAUUAAACUAUUUAUGUUAGAUUUCCUGCUUCAAGUGUUUAGAAUGCAUACUGUUCCGUCAUUGUUCCUAAGUAUGUAACUAUAAUUACGUGAAUUUGCUUUGGUUUACAGUAAACAUUCCAAGAUAUAACAGUGAUUCAUUGAAGCGCAAACAAGUGCCAGUAUUUGAGGAAAUUCGUGUGUACAAAUUCACAUAUAAAAUUGAUCAUAUUCGAACUCGGUUUUCAAAGUAGUUUGAGCAUGGAUUUAAGUGUGUGACAAUCGAAGAAAAAUUGCAACAUUAGAGAUAUUGGAAUUAGGUCGAUAAAUCUCAUUUAUUAAUCAUUCAACGAAUCAGAAAAUAUGUCUGUCAUAUUGCAAUGGCUCGAUCAUGGGUAGGAUGUUUGUUCGGUGUUUUAAUACCAUCCGCAGUUUUUUACCUGUAUUUAUUAUUAAACGUUCCUUCUGCCGAAAUCAGUUCCUUCAAAAUUAAUGGUAAAUUGGGCUCAUCCGUGGAUAUAGAAAAAGCAAGUCCACAUAUAGCUACUUUCGAAAAGUUGCGCUUAGAAAAUAAUCACAAUGAGGUAAAAUGCGAGACCGUGCAUAUUGCGAUGGUGUGCGCCGGAUACAAUUCAACAUUCGCUCUGGUGACAGUAGUAAAAUCCGUUUUAUUCUACCGCACUAAACCUUUGCACUUUCACUUGCUCGUUGAUGAAAUUGCAAAGAGGACUUUGACAACUGUGUUUCAAACAUGGGAUUUACCACAUGUGAAUUUAACAUAUUACAAAGCAGAGAAAUGGGUACCAAAAGUAUCUUGGAUACCGAACAAACAUUACUCCGGUGUUUACGGUCUUUUGAAAUUAAUUCUGCCGGAUGCGAUGCGGGAGGAUAAAGUGCUUGUAUUCGACACGGAUGUGACUGUGCUGAACGAUGUUAGUUUACUUUGGCAUAUAUUCGAGAAGUUCUCGAGCGAUCAAGCACUAGGGUUGACAGAAAAUCAGAGUCAUUGGUACAUAAAGGCAUUGUCUUACGGUCAACGACCAUGGCCGGCACUGGGACGAGGCUUUAACACUGGCGUGAUGCUAAUGCACUUGCAACAACUUCGUAAGAGAAAAUUUACGAGCCUGUGGGAAGCUGUUACGAAGCGUGUGCUGGCCCAUAUACCGGAAACUAGUUUAGCUGAUCAGGAUAUAAUAAAUGCCGUUAUCAAAGAACGUCCUUUUAUCGUAUAUAAAAUAAAAUGCACGUGGAAUAUUCAAUUAAGCGAUCAUACAAUUAGUGAUAUAUGUUAUCGUGACACUAGUCAAAUAAGCAUUAUUCAUUGGAAUUCUCCUCGCAAACAAGAUGUAUAUAAUAAGCAUAUUAACGAAUUUCGUAAAUUACAUAGAGUUUUCCUCGAGAUGGAUGGGAAUUUAUUACGUAGACGCUUAUUUGGUUGUGAUAAACACGAAACUGUGUCUCAAUAUAAUGAGUCAAGCCCUUGUCGAGAUUUCACAAAAGGUGCUACCAUGUUGUAUCGUACUCAUCCUUUCCUUCUUGAGUAUGAAUACAAUGUAUAUACUCCAGCGGAUGUUGCUCUAAUAACUCAAUGUAGCGUAGAGAGAAUACCGUUACUAGAAGACCUAUCGAAACAUUGGCCCGGUACCAUAAGCGUUGCACUGUAUCUCACUGAUGCUGAAGUACAGAAUUUCCUAGAGUUCGUACGCGGUUCCAUCGAGUUGAGAAACAGGAAGAACAUCGCAUACCACGUCGUUUACAAGGAUGGGGAACUUUAUCCAAUUAAUUAUUUACGAAAUAUUGCGAUGUCAUAUAUAUCAACCCCAUACAUCUUUCAAUUGGAUGUCGAUUUCCUGCCUCAAUAUAGAUUACACGAAAAUCUUAUGAAUUAUAUUGUUAAAUUGAAUAUUAGUGAAUCGGACAAGGUAGCUUUGAUCGUUCCAGCCUUUGAAACAGAGCGUUAUAGAUUUACUUUUCCUGCUGACAAGGAUGAACUCUUGAAAUUUUUAAAACGCGGUGUUCUAUAUACUUUUCGUUAUCACGUUUGGACCCAGGGUCAUGCUGCUACUAAUUAUACUUAUUGGCGUAAUACAAUGGAGCCAUACGAAGUUUCUUGGGAACCAGAUUUUGAACCGUAUAUCGUGGUCUCAAGAUUAGCGCCCCGUUACGACACCAGAUUCAUCGGUUUUGGAUGGAACAAGGUGUCUUAUUUGACGCAUUUGACAGUAUUGAAUUAUAAAUUUAUAUAGGUACAUUGUCUUACCGGAUACAUUCAUUAUUCAUCGGCCUCACGCCCCUAGUCUCGACAUCGGCAAGUUCAGAACUGACUCUAUUUAUAGAAGCUGUUUAAAAAAAUUGAAGGAUGAAUUCGUUGAAGAAUUAAUGUCGAAAUAUGGUGAGAAUGCAUUAUUAAAGUUAAAGAAAAUGACCAAAGAUGAAAGGAUAUUAAAGUCUGUUGAAACCAAAAAGUAAUUAAUUAUAUUUGUAAUGAUAAGAACGACUGCGAAAAUGCUAAUAUUAUUGCUAUUUUCUCAAUAAAAAUGUAUUUAAAAAAAUA
rnacentral:misc_RNA from 1 species